rnacentral:sRNA from 1 species
AUCUUGUAUUUACUAAUGGAAACUAUGUAAUGGAUAGCACAUAGACUGUCCUUGCUGUGUGUAUGUAUCCCAUUUGAUGUCUGCGUGUUAUCAAACUUUAUUCUUCCCCGGGGAACAAUCUGUUCUGUUGUUUCAAAGUUUACUGGUGUUGCUGCCUUGACUAGUCGUUGUCUUGCAUCUCGAACCCGACUAAUAAUCGUCUGAAUCAACAAUAUCUGUAUCAAGGUCCCGCUUCGUUAUCUGUUAUUUUAAGCCUCGCUGCAGCACGUGUACAUGUGCAUGUCGCUUUCCUUUCAACAUAUCUCCGUGCAUCUUUGCAUAAUUCAUUCCACAAUCCAUGUUUUCUGACUUCAAUUUCAUGCCGUGUACUCCAACAUAUCCUGUGAAAGAACUCGCAAAGUGCUACGUCAUUAAUAUUUAACAACACAAGAGUAAAUCAGUCAAAAUCUUUGUAUAUGCACUUAAUAUUGUCCGUCAACCAUUUCUUAUAGAAUAUAUGAUUUUAAUAGAAUCUUUGAUCGAAGAAAACAAUGUUUAAUUUGCACCCAGCUUACUGAAUUAACUAUAAAGCCCGGAUGUGACGUGAUCAGGUAUACCCAGUGGAUGUCGUCAUAGUGAUAAAUGACCUUGACAAGUCAUGACCGGAUGGCUUAUUUAUUUUUUUUUAAUUUCCUCAAACGAGAUUCCUUCUUCGUGUCAGACUUAACAGAGUAAUGGCGGAUAGAUGUAUUCUCCCAUUUUACCUAUACGCCCAGGAAGUGACAAUUCCAUAUAUUUAUAUAAAAAUUUCUAUCUGAGUGUAUCAAAUUUAGUGCAUAUACAUAAAACUGGUACAUAUAUGAAACAUUGGGUUCUAUGGUUGACCUUGAAAGCGGCCACUAUUAGAAAUUGCAAGUGAGAGUUGUUUUUCGACACAUGUUUAUCAGACUGUUUUUAUACCACGUGUUUGGACCGAUCGCCUUUUUUAUUGGAAAAUACUUGAUUAAGAUAAAAAGAACUAAGUAUCUAG